GGAUAAUUUUGAUCUCCCCAAAGGCAGAAGGGAAAGACAAGUAAAGACGGAGUAACCUACAUUUUCCCGCGUUUUUGUUCCCAUAAUUCCCCAAUCAAAACAUGUCUGCCACAUGGGCCAAAGCGAGACCUUGCACAAGGGAGUUACAACAAGAGUGGCACCAUGAGGGCUGCUGGAGUGAUACUGUGGCCCUAGCCUAGGAUGACCCAUGAUCUUUGGCUAUGGUGUGAGGAUUGUCAGAAAGGACAUGAAGGAGAUUGCGAGGAACACGGUCCAUUGACGAAAGUGGCAGACACAGAGGUAUCCACGAGAGCACGUCGGUCUAUACCACACAUCCUGAAGCUGAAGGAAGACAUCGCCCACACGGAUCACCUCAUCUUGAUGACUGUUCACUCAAAAAUUCAAAAAUAAAUAAAUAAGAAAGAACUGAUUUAACCGAAGAAAAAAAUUGUUUGGCAGGAGUUUAUGCGAGACAGUUGCUGACCAAAAGGCUGCAGUUUGGUCCCCUGCAGGCUGAGAAAAUUUUUGCGGGUAGUCAGCAGGUGGCAGUUGAGGAGGAAAUAAAGGAGAGGUGAGUGUGUUCGUUGUGCGGUGUGCACCCAGCGAUGUCUCUGUCAGUCACCACCGGCUUCUUUGUCUCACAUGCGGAUGGAUUAACAGAUGGAUGGAUGGAUGGAUGUUUGUCGCAUCUGUCUAGCCGCGUCUGGGAUGGGGACAGUAACUGUGGUGAUGGCGAAGAGAAGGUACGGUAACGAUGGCUUCUAAGAUCUUGCUUUUGGUUCAUGUCCCCAAGAUGCAGAUAAGUCAAGAGUUUAUGAUGAGCUUUCUAUUCUUAUAUUCAUUAUUAUGAUGUUAAUAAUAGUAAUGUAAUGAUGAGAAUGAUAAUAAUGAUGAUAAUAUAAAUUUUCAUGUUAUUCUUGGACCACGUUUAGUGCUAGGAAAGGCAUCCAGUCAGGCAAAGGCAGCACUGUCAAAGCCAAAGUUCAGCACCACCUUAACCCAGAACAAGGGAGUCACAGGCUUAUAAUAGGAUUAGUGUUAUUAUUAUUAUCAUUAUAUUUGUCAUUGUAUAUUAUUGUCAAUAUUGUUAUUUACGUAUUUGGAACUUGCCUUGAAGCAGGUCUUUGUUUGAUUAUUGUAACUAAUUAAAGUAAUAUAAAAAUACUUGGCCUUUACCAGCACCACCACUGCCACACAAUAGCAGUGUAUGUUUUUUUUUCCAUUAAUAUUAUUAAUUUGUUUUGUUUUGUUUUUGUUUUGUAACAAUUUUUAGGAGAAUCUUUGUUGUGGAAAUUCUGACAUCCAGAAAAUGUAGAUGCAGUGGAAUCAAAACAGUCUUCAAGAAUAGUAGACCGUGGAUUAUAUAUAUCCUAAGCUAAAUCCAGAAGAAAUGGGAUGUUAUGAAAUGGGGAAAUUAAAAGCUGCUUGGGGAAGAGAUCCCAUCCAAGUGAGGCAAUGUACUUCCAGAAUUUUACCAAGUUAAUCUGAGCUGAGCAAAUGCAUUACAGUAUCUAUUUGUUGUUGUUGUUGUUGUUGCUCAUAAUCAUUAUUGAUGUUUUCCAUACAUCGACUGGAUUCCAGAUAUUUCCUAUGGCUCCUUUUCCAUUGGCUGUUUCCUUGAAUGAAUCUUUUAUCAUAUCUUAUUGCUUUGUCUUUUAGAAUAUAUAAAGUGUAGAUCUCUAGUCUUUUGUCAUAACCUAUAUUCUUAUGUGUAGAGCCUUAAAAAUAUUUUUUGCUUAACUUAUAUCAUUGUUAUUAUUAUUAUUGGGGAAAAAGCAUGACAAGUUAUGGCAGACAGUUUGGGUUCAUUUAUGGUAUUUCAUCUCUCGACUAAAUAACUAGGUUAACUCUCUAUCUCUCAUUCUCUUUCUAUUUCUAUUUCUAUUUCUAUUUCUAUUUCUACUUCUCUCUCCCUCUCUGUCU